GGCCCACCCUGUGGACGGUGGCCCGGUGGGGCCCAUCUGCACUUGCUCUGCGAAGGACGCCAAGAGUGGGGAAGUGACUACAUCCUGCAGAGCAAGGCCCUUCUUUUAAAAAUAUGGCCUGUGAAAUAACUACACGAAAUGUUUCAAAGAAAUAUCUACUCCUGUCUCCAAGAUUGUAACAACUGUCUCCAUCUUCCUCUAGUCUCUUCAAGGAUGUGCAUACAGUAAUUAUCCAAUCAUAGGACUAACAAAGUAGUAGUUGGGGCUCGGAGAAGAAGAAAGAUGCCUAUUUGGGCUAUGUUAACAUACAGAGGCUAUUGGAGACAAAGGGAGGUCGCGUUGAAUGUGAAUAAAGAAGCCGUGCGUGGUGGCACACGCCUUUAAUCCCCAAGCUUGGGAUGCAGAAGCAGUCAGCUCUCUUGAGUUUGAGACCACCCUGGUCUACAAAGCAAGCUCCAGGACAGCCAGGGCGACACAGAGAAAGGCUGUUUUGAAACCAUCCCCGGCAAAAGGAAUGUUACUAAAGAGAAUUUAGCGCCAAGCUAAGAAGUCAAUAAGAGAAUAUGGAUCCUACAAAGGAGAUUGAGAAGAGGUAGCAGUGAAACCGGCUAAAAGCCCAAAGAGAAAGAGCCCCUGAAAAGCACGGCAAUUUCAGAAGCAAGGCACGAUGAAGCCGUGUCAGAGACUUUAAGACAAUGUCUGAGAACCGGUGGGCUUUGCAAGACCCAAAGAUGCAUGGUAUAAAAGAAAGGCCCAAGACAGUUACUGGCAAGCAGUGUUGUAGGUGUUCAUAUGGUAAAGUAGAAACGAUCAGUAUUAUCCAUUUCUCAGAUAGAAAAACUGGGGUAUGUGUAAGCAUUGCAGCUCGGAUGGAAAGGGAUCCUGGCAGUCGGGAGCCAAGAGCUACCACAAAGUCACUGUAAGGGUAGCAGCUUAACAGCCCUGCUGGAGAUCCCAAUAUAAGGCUCUAUGGGAAAAGGCACUUGCCAACAAUCCUGAGGACAUGAGUUCGGACCCCAGGACCCACAUUGUAGAAAAUGAGAAUCAACUCCUGCAAGUUGUCCACUGAUCUCCACAUACAAGUCUCUCCCUCUCCAUCUCCUUCUCCCUUACCUCACCUUUCCCUGUCUCUUACCCCACCCACAUCUCUCCAUAUAAUUUUUAAAAAAUUUAAGAAAAGAUUUUUCCAGAAGCAAAGAACGUGAAAUUCUAAACUGGAAGGACUUGGGAAACCAAACUGGUCUCAUCUUAAAAUGGUCUAAGAUCUUGAAUCAACAUUUUCCCAAAGAACAUGGUCACCAAGCACAUGAGAAGAUCAUUGAUUAUCAGAGAAAUGCAAAGGAAAACCUCAGUGUCAUCUCACAUCUGCUUGGGUGCUUAUUAUUGGGAAAUAUGAAACACAUAUUGGCAAGGAUGUGCAAAAUAAGGAAGCCUUGCACACUGCUGGUAGGAAUGUGAAUUUGUACGCCUCUGUGGAAAACAGUGUGGAAAGAAGAAAAACACAGUAUAGAGGUUCCUCAAAAAAAGUUAAAAAUAGAACGAUCAUAUGCUCUACCGAUCCCAUCUGGACAGCUAUGAGAAAGAACUGAAUUCAGGCUAUCAAAGAGAUUGCCAGCAGUCCUGUGUUCGCCGCAAAUUAUCCACAAUAGGCAGAAUACCGAAGUAAUCUAAAUACCCCUUGUCAAAUGAGUGGCGACAGGAAAUGUGUAUAUACAUUGAGAGUGAUAGUUAGUUAACCUUUAACAAGAAGCAUGCUGGGCAGUGGUGGCACACACCUUUAAUCCUAGCACUCGGGAGGCAGAGGCAGGUGGAUCUCUGAGUUUGAGGCCAGCCUGGUCUACAGAGCGAGUUCUAGGACAGCCGGGGCUACAUAGAGAAACCGUGUCUCGAAAACAACAACAACAACAAACAAACAAACAAACAAAGCAAAACAAAGCGAAAAGAAGUGUAUGCUGUCUGCCCCAACAUGGAUGAACCUGGAGGGCACUGUACCAAGUGUGGCUGUCAAUCACAGAACAAGCACCGCCUGGUUUAACUUGUAUGACAUCUAAAAUAGUCUGCUGUGUAGAAGCUGAGUCGGAUGGUGGUUAGGUGAGGGGAGGGAAAUGGAAUAAAAGAAAAUAGGGGCUGGAGAGAUGACUUAACAACUCCAACCACCCGAAGAGCAAUGGCUGCUCUUCCAGAGAACCCAGGUGCAAUUUCUAACACCCACGUGGUGGCUCACAACUCUCCGUAACUCCUCCUCCACGGGAUCAGAUGCCCUCUUCUGGCUUCCAAGGGUACCAGGCACGCAAGUGGUGCAUAGACACACAUGCAGGCAAAACACCUAUGCACAUGGAACAAGUAAAAUGCUUUCAAAAAGCUCCACAAAUGAUGGAGAUAGUGGAUGAAAUCACACUUAAAAUUACAUCGCUGUGAACAAUUCAUAAGAAGAUUCAGAGGGAGAGGACAGAAAAACUACCAGGAAUCAGACGGAAUCUAUCAGAAAGUGAAAGCUAGAAGAUAAUGAAAGCAUUAAAAACCCUAAGGAAAAAUAGAAUUUGAACCCAGAAAACCUAGCUAUCAAGAGUGAGAGUUGGAGCCAGAAGGUGGUCUUUAAUCCCAGCACUUGGGAGGCAGAGCUCUCUGUGAGCUUGAGGCCAGCCUGGUCUACAGAGUGAAUUCCAGGACAGCCAGAGCUGUUACACAGAGAAACCCUGUCUUGAAAAACAAAACAAAAAAGAGUGAGAGUCGAAUAAAGAUGUUUUCCGAUGUAUGAGGUGCAAAGACUUUACCUCCUAAGCUCUCUUUAGAAGUGAGUGAAGGAUGAUGUUCUCUACCAAAAGCAGUGAGUAGAUGAGAAAAAAGAAGCUGGGAUAUAGGAAGCCCAGAAGAACUGACAGAGAGGCCGAGGCAAUCUCCCAUCAAGGGUGACUCUGGAGGACACGGGGCCAACUGAUGAAGAGGAAGAUGACCCCAAAGUCUUGAGAAAUGUAAGCAGAUGAAAAUGACAAGAUAACUAAUAUGAAUGCAGACAUUGGGUGGAGUUUUAUACAGCUGGAAGAGGGUAAGUUGAGUCAAUGACCAAUUAUUUUCUAAAAAUCACCCAUUUGUUUUAUAACAACUAAAACAAAACUUGUGCAGAAAAGGAACAAACAGCUAUAGCAAUAUAUGGUUAGACUGUUGAGUCUUACGACAUCACCAGUAAUUAAACCAGGGGUUCUCAGGUUUCCCAAUGCUUCAACCCUGUAACACAGCUCCCCAUAUCGUGGUGACCCCCAACCAUAAAAUUAUUUUCGUUACUACUUCAUAACUGUGACUUUGCUACUGUUUAUGAAUUGUAAUGUAGAUAUCCUUGUUUUCCAGUGGUCCUGGGUGAUCCCUGUGAAAGGGUCGGUCAACCCCAAGGGGGUCGUGACCCACAGGUUGAGAAUUCCUGAUUUAAAGUAUUCUGUAUACAUUGGGACUGAACCUAGAGCCUCACGCAUGCUUAGACAAGCAGGGUAGACACUAACUACAUCCUCAUCCUUCUUUGAAGGCUACCACACUUCUUUUUAUUUAUUUUUCUUUCUUUUUUCUGGGGUAGAGGGAGGUGGAUAAGUCUCACAAAGUUUUGCCUGCUUCGUCUUGAAUUCAUUCUGUAGCCCAGGAGGCAGACCUGGACUUAGUGAUCUUUCUUCCUCAGCCUCCUGAAUAACUGGGGUUAUAGACCUGUAUUACCUGCAUGGUUUCAUUUCAAAUACUAAAAGAGGUAUUAUUUCAGAGCUGAGGAGAAUGCUUGCCUCGCAGUCAUAAGGAACGUCAUUCAGUCCCUAGAAUCCAUGUAAAAAUGGGCAUGGUGGCAGGCUUAUAACUCCAGUACUGGGAGGGCAGAGAUAAAGGGUUCCUGGGGCUUGCUAGACUAUCCUAAUUAGUGAGCUCCAGGCCAAUGAGAGACACUACGUCAGAUGAGGUGGAUGGUUUUUGUUUCGUGGUUUGUUUUUUUUUUUGGCAGGGGGCGGGGGGUUUCAAGACAGAGUUUCUCUGUGUAGUUUUUUUGGUGCCUGUCCUGGAUCUCGCUCUAUAGACCAGGCUGGCCUCGAACUCACAGAGAUCUGCCUGGCUCUGCCUCCUGAGUGCUGGGAUUAAAGGCGUAAGACACCAUGCCCGGCCAUGUGGAUGGUAUUCUUGAGUGACAGCUCCCAAGUUUGUUCUCUGGCUUCCACACAUGGACACACAUGUGCAUGCACAUCCCCAAACACACACACUUACAAAAUAAAACAUCUUUUAAAACAGC